rnacentral:rRNA from 1 species
AUUGAACGCUGGCGGCAGGCCUAACACAUGCAAGUCGAACGGUAGCACAGAGAGCUUGCUCUCGGGUGACGAGUGGCGGACGGGUGAGUAAUGUCUGGGAAACUGCCCGAUGGAGGGGGAUAACUACUGGAAACGGUAGCUAAUACCGCAUAAUGUCGCAAGACCAAAGAGGGGGACCUUCGGGCCUCUUGCCAUCGGAUGUGCCCAGAUAGGAUUAGCUUGUUGGUGAGGUAAUGGCUCACCAAGGCGACGAUCCCUAGCUGGUCUGAGAGGAUGACCAGCCACACUGGAACUGAGACACGGUCCAGACUCCUACGGGAGGCAGCAGUGGGGAAUAUUGCACAAUGGGCGCAAGCCUGAUGCAGCCAUGCCGCGUGUGUGAAGAAGGCCUUCGGGUUGUAAAGCACUUUCAGCGGGGAGGAAGGCGAUACGAUUAAUAACCGUGUUGAUUGACGUUACCCGCAGAAGAAGCACCGGCUAACUCCGUG